rnacentral:lncRNA from 10 species
CUGCACUCCAGCCUGUGAGACAGAGACUCCAUCUCAAAAAAAAAAAGAAAAAAAAAUUUCUAAGAUGUGAUUUUUUUUUUUUUUAAGUCCUGCUGUCACUGCCGUCCAGAUCUUCAUAAGUACUUGCUGGGACUAUGGCAAAAACCUCACAACUGGUCUCUCCCUACCCCAGUCUAUUUCCAGCACUGUUGCAGAUCACACUAUCUUACACUUUGGUGGCCACGUCUUCGGGCCUGGCGAAACCUGCCUCAUCUCCUCUCCUGUGAGUGCUAGGUUCCUCCAGAUCCCAUUCUUCUGCCACAGCAAAUCAGGCCCUGACCUUUGUAAAUGGGAUUCCCUUGGCUUUCUCUUCUGCAUUUGGCAAUCUUCCAUCCUGCCUUCAAAAUCUGGCUCAAAAAUACCUCAGUAAUGCCUUUUCACCUCUUUCAGGCAGAGUUAUCUUAUAACAAAGUUCCUACCUUUCCCAUUAUACCGUGAGCUUUUUUUUUAGUUAUCUCAGAAUUCCCAGGACACAGCAAAUGUG